rnacentral:lncRNA from 1 species
AGGCUACACUCUCCAUUUGGAGCAGAGCUUCUUCGGCAGCCCCAGGUCUCCCGGGAUCUUCCUCGGUGUCCUGCGGAGGCUCUGGCUCCAGCGUGGGCUCCAGCGCAGGCUGGGCUUCCGGCUGGGCUUCAGCGCUCCGGCCAGGCCCAAGGCGAGGCGGCUUGACCGGGGUGGGCGGUGGCGCUGCAGGGCCUUUCCGGCCCGAAAGGGCCCUUCGGAGGCUCUGUACCUUCUGCAAUCCGGUGCGCCGCAGCCGCUGGGCCCUGGACUCCACCGGCUCCUCGUCCGAGCUCUCUCCAACUUCGGCCUCCAGCUGCUCUGGGCCCAGCUCGGACUGGUCCGCCGGGCCCAAGGGCUCUGGUGCCUUCUGGAAAGCGCUGGCUGGGACUUCACCCUCCUCCUGCAUGUGACGGACACAGCACUGAUCCUGGCAGCUCCUUACCCCCAGCAGCCCGAAACUCACUCCUUAAUUACACAAGGGAAACCUUUUACCUCCGCAGCCAGAGUCUGGGGGGAAAGGCAGGCGUGGGAAGAUGGGUUCUCUACCUGGCCAGUGCCAUGUUGCCUGUUUCUUUACUGUAACUGUGGUGACAAAGAAAAGGGAAGAUGGAGCCUCCAUGUUGAACAUACCUGGCCCCCAGCACUAACUCCCUCUCUGGAUAUCUGGAACAAGGAGGACCUUAAACUUAACAAUAAAGCCAAUGAUGGUUCUACCAGUCUCCCCAAAGCCUCAAGUUUAAAAGCCAUAUGAACUGGCUGAUAGUGGAAAAUGGAAGCCAUGAGGAAAUCAGAUUAGAGUACUACCUGGUGAAGCCUGGAGGACCUACCAAGAAAAGCAAACUUGGAUCUUUGCAAGGUUAGAAGAACGAAUGGGAUCCAAGAAAAAGACUGGUCAUAUUCAACGGCUAAGAGCGUUGGAGAAGGCCUGUGGAGUCUCAGCAGGUCAGGUCCAUGACUCAUGAGUAGACACCUGUGUUUCUACUGCCUGGUGCCAUAAUCAUAAACAAGAGUAAUCAGCAAAUGCCUUUCCUUUCUCCUGCUGAUGUUUUGCCCGUACUCAGACCCCUUGACUUCUUAGCUUCUACCCAAAGUGAGCUUGUCAUCAAAGUUCUCCAAAAAUCUGCAGUGUUCUCUUGAGCAAAUCUGCUUCCAAGACUAUAGCGCUCUGAUGCAUUGAGAUGACAGCAAGCGGCAUUUUUCAGUCCUGUUACCCAUAUGGCUGCUACCACUGCAUCCUGUUAAAUAAUGUCUUCAACCCAAGAAACCUGCUUCCUAGGGAAGUUUCUCUCUCUCUGCAUUUGUUCCCACUAGAGAAUGACCAUCACCAGAUUCCUGAACUGAAAAUGCUGUUGACACUUUGGAAACUCGGGCCUCUAUUAAUAGGGUGACCAACUAUCCUGGUUUACCUUGAGUACAGGAUUUUCAAUGCUAAAACCAGAAAAACCAGGAUGGUUGGUCAUCUGCCUCAGACCUAAUAAAUACCAGUCAAUAAUUCAGCCAUGA